rnacentral:rRNA from 1 species
GACGAACGCUGGCGGCGUGCUUAACACAUGCAAGUCGAACGGAAAGGCCCUGCUUUUGUGGGGUGCUCGAGUGGCGAACGGGUGAGUAACACGUGAGUAACCUGCCCUUGACUUUGGGAUAACUUCAGGAAACUGGGGCUAAUACCGGAUAGGAGCUCCUGCUGCAUGGUGGGGGUUGGAAAGUUUCGGCGGUUGGGGAUGGGCUCGCGGCUUAUCAGCUUGUUGGUGGGGUAGUGGCUUACCAAGGCUUUGACGGGUAGCCGGCCUGAGAGGGUGACCGGCCACAUUGGGACUGAGAUACGGCCCAGACUCCUACGGGAGGCAGCAGCGGGGAAUAUUGCACAAUGGGCGGAAGCCUGAUGCAGCAACGCCGCGUGCGGGAUGACGGCCUUCGGGUUGUAAACCGCUUUCGCCUGUGACGAAGCGUGAGUGACGGUAAUGGGUAAAGAAGCACCGGCUAACUACGUG